ACUAAGCGUACACGGUGGAUGCCCUGGCAGUCAGAGGCGAUGAAGGACGUGCUAAUCUGCGAAAAGCGUCGGUAAGGUGAUAUGAACCGUUAUAACCGGCGAUGUCCGAAUGGGGAAACCCAGUGUGAUUCGUCACACUAUCGUUAACUGAAUACAUAGGUUAACGAGGCGAACCGGGGGAACUGAAACAUCUAAGUACCCCGAGGAAAAGAAAUCAACCGAGAUUCCCCCAGUAGCGGCGAGCGAACGGGGAGCAGCCCAGAGUCUGAAUCAGCUUGUGUGUUAGUGGAACGGUCUGGAAAGUCCGACGGUACAGGGUGAUAGUCCCGUACACCAAAAUGCACAGGCUGUGAACUCGAAGAGUAGGGCGGGACACGUGGUAUCCUGUCUGAAUAUGGGGGGACCAUCCUCCAAGGCUAAAUACUCCUGACUGACCGAUAGUGAACCAGUACCGUGAGGGAAAGGCGAAAAGAACCCCGGCGAGGGGAGUGAAAAAGAACCUGAAACCGUGUACGUACAAGCAGUGGGAGCACCUUCGGGUGUGACUGCGUACCUUUUGUAUAAUGGGUCAGCGACUUAUAUUCUGUAGCAAGGUUAACCGUAUAGGGGAGCCGCAGGGAAACCGAGUCUUAACUGGGCGUUAAGUUGCAGGGUAUAGACCCGAAACCCGGUGAUCUAGCCAUGGGCAGGUUGAAGGUUGGGUAACACUAACUGGAGGACCGAACCGACUAAUGUUGAAAAAUUAGCGGAUGACUUGUGGCUGGGGGUGAAAGGCCAAUCAAACCGGGAGAUAGCUGGUUCUCCCCGAAAGCUAUUUAGGUAGCGCCUCGUGAACUCAUCUUCGGGGGUAGAGCACUGUUUCGGCUAGGGGGUCAUCCCGACUUACCAACCCGAUGCAAACUACGAAUACCGAAGAAUGUUAUCACGGGAGACACACGGCGGGUGCUAACGUCCGUCGUGAAGAGGGAAACAACCCAGACCGCCAGCUAAGGUCCCAAAGUCAUGGUUAAGUGGGAAACGAUGUGGGAAGGCACAGACAGCCAGGAUGUUGGCUUAGAAGCAGCCAUCAUUUAAAGAAAGCGUAAUAGCUCACUGGUCGAGUCGGCCUGCGCGGAAGAUGUAACGGGGCUAAACCAUGCACCGAAGCUGCGGCAGCGACACUAUGUGUUGUUGGGUAGGGGAGCGUUCUGUAAGCCUGCGAAGGUGUGCUGUGAGGCAUGCUGGAGGUAUCAGAAGUGCGAAUGCUGACAUAAGUAACGAUAAAGCGGGUGAAAAGCCCGCUCGCCGGAAGACCAAGGGUUCCUGUCCAACGUUAAUCGGGGCAGGGUGAGUCGACCCCUAAGGCGAGGCCGAAAGGCGUAGUCGAUGGGAAACAGGUUAAUAUUCCUGUACUUGGUGUUACUGCGAAGGGGGGACGGAGAAGGCUAUGUUAGCCGGGCGACGGUUGUCCCGGUUUAAGCAUGUAGGCUGAUUGUCCAGGCAAAUCCGGAUAAUCAAGGCUGAGGUGUGAUGACGAGGCACUACGGUGCUGAAGUAACAAAUGCCCUGCUUCCAGGAAAAGCCUCUAAGCAUCAGGUAACAUCAAAUCGUACCCCAAACCGACACAGGUGGUCAGGUAGAGAAUACCAAGGCGCUUGAGAGAACUCGGGUGAAGGAACUAGGCAAAAUGGUGCCGUAACUUCGGGAGAAGGCACGCUGGUGUGUAGGUGAAGUCCCUGCGGAUGGAGCUGAGACCAGUCGAAGAUACCAGCUGGCUGCAACUGUUUAUUAAAAACACAGCACUGUGCAAACACGAAAGUGGACGUAUACGGUGUGACGCCUGCCCGGUGCCGGAAGGUUAAUUGAUGGGGUUAUCCGUAAGGAGAAGCUCUUGAUCGAAGCCCCGGUAAACGGCGGCCGUAACUAUAACGGUCCUAAGGUAGCGAAAUUCCUUGUCGGGUAAGUUCCGACCUGCACGAAUGGCGUAAUGAUGGCCAGGCUGUCUCCACCCGAGACUCAGUGAAAUUGAACUCGCUGUGAAGAUGCAGUGUACCCGCGGCAAGACGGAAAGACCCCGUGAACCUUUACUAUAGCUUGACACUGAACAUUGAGCCUUGAUGUGUAGGAUAGGUGGGAGGCUUUGAAGCGUGGACGCCAGUCUGCGUGGAGCCAACCUUGAAAUACCACCCUUUAAUGUUUGAUGUUCUAACGUUGGCCCCUGACCGGGGUUGCGGACAGUGUCUGGUGGGUAGUUUGACUGGGGCGGUCUCCUCCCAAAGCGUAACGGAGGAGCACGAAGGUUAGCUAAUCCUGGUCGGACAUCAGGAGGUUAGUGCAAUGGCAUAAGCUAGCUUGACUGCGAGCGUGACGGCGCGAGCAGGUGCGAAAGCAGGUCAUAGUGAUCCGGUGGUUCUGAAUGGAAGGGCCAUCGCUCAACGGAUAAAAGGUACUCCGGGGAUAACAGGCUGAUACCGCCCAAGAGUUCAUAUCGACGGCGGUGUUUGGCACCUCGAUGUCGGCUCAUCACAUCCUGGGGCUGAAGUAGGUCCCAAGGGUAUGGCUGUUCGCCAUUUAAAGUGGUACGCGAGCUGGGUUUAGAACGUCGUGAGACAGUUCGGUCCCUAUCUGCCGUGGGCGCUGGAGAAUUGAGGGGGGCUGCUCCUAGUACGAGAGGACCGGAGUGGACGCAUCACUGGUGUUCGGGUUGUCAUGCCAAUGGCACUGCCCGGUAGCUAAAUGCGGAAGAGAUAAGUGCUGAAAGCAUCUAAGCACGAAACUUGCCCCGAGAUGAGUUCUCCCUGAGACUAUAAGUCUCCUGAAGGAACGUUAAAGACGAUGACGUUGAUAGGCCGGGUGUGUAAGCGCAGCGAUGCGUUGAGCUAACCGGUACUAAUGAACCGUGAGGCUUAACC
rnacentral:rRNA from 1 species